rnacentral:rRNA from 2 species
UAACAAGGAUUCCCCUAGUAACUGCGAGUGAAGCGGGAAAAGCUCAAAUUUAAAAUCUGGCGGCUUUGGUCGUCCGAGUUGUAUUCUAGAGAAGGGUUUUCCGCGCUGGACCGUGUACAAGUCUCUUGGAACAGAGCGUCAUAGAGGGUGAGAAUCCCGUCUUUGACACGGACUACCAGUGCUUUGUGAUGCGCUCUCAAAGAGUCGAGUUGUUUGGGAAUGCAGCUCAAAAUGGGUGGUAAAUUCCAUCUAAAGCUAAAUAUUGGCGAGAGACCGAUAGCGAACAAGUACCGUGAGGGAAAGAUGAAAAGCACUUUGGAAAGAGAGUUAAACAGUACGUGAAAUUGCUGAAAGGGAAACGCUUGAAGUCAGUCGCGUUGGUUAGAACUCAACCAGGCUUGCUUGGUGCAUUUUCUAUUCAACGGGCCAGCAUCAGUUUUGACUGUAGGAAAAAGAUCAGAGAAAUGUGGCACCUUCGGGUGUGUUAUAGUCUUUGGUUGCAUACUAUGGUUGGGACUGAGGAUCUCAGCACGCAUCUGUUGUGCUUAGGAUGCUGGCGUAAUGGCUUUAAACGAC